rnacentral:lncRNA from 1 species
CGACCGCGUCUCCGCAGUGAUCUUGGGAGCCACACCACGAGGGGAAGGAGUCCCUCUGCCUGUGCACUGCUGUGUUCUCCGGACUUGGGACUCGGACACUUGAAUUGCCUCGAGCGUCCUCCUUCCUUGUCUCCCUCCCUCAUCAUCUCCUCCGCGCUUCUCUUGUCCUUUCCGCUGUCCCUUCCCUGCGGAGCCUCCCUGUCUCCAGUGUGGUCAGGUGCAUCGCUCAGGCCGUCGGUCCUGCGGAGCAGCCGGUCUAGGGCGUGUGUUUCCCCGGGUGGUGUCUGAGGCUCCAGCCGCCCAGAAACUCGAGAUUCUAGUGUCCCAAAAGCAGAACUUUCACCUUUCGUAUGUGGGCACCUCUUCCGGACCUCCAAAGAUAACCGUCUACGCGGGUCUGCACGCUGCUUCCCGCAAUUCUUUUAUUCCCUCCUUUUUUGACUUCCUGUGAAGUUGAGUUUUCUUGAGGUAGUGCUUUUGCUCAGAGGCCACAUGCUUAGCUCUGAAUUUCUCUCUUGACUUUUUUCCUUCCGUACUAGUCAACCAAUAGGACAGUUUAUCCUUCCUCGUGUUCCCAACGUUUUGAGGGAGUUUUUUUUUUUUUUUCUUCUUCUCUCUUCUCCAUUUUCAUUUUGAUUUUUUCUAAGAUAAUGUUUUUAACUGUUUUGUUAAAAUGUGUACCCAAAAUAUAGCAAACGUUAAUGUAGAUUUUGUGUACUGUACCUGGCUGAAUAUUUCGAGCAUUACGUAACAUAUGUUCAACUGUACUUCGGGCAUACAGUUACGGACUUGGAAAUUUUAAUGUGAAUAAUCGGAAUGCUGGUCUGAAGAACUGAGAGUCAAUCUAUAGUAACAUGUUGGUUUCCGUUUAAGAGUAUGUAGAAAGUGUUUUAACUGUGUAGAUCACAGAGGAGCUGGGCAAAAGGGGAAGCAUGAUCUAGUGUGGUUACCUAAAGGUAGCUUAUGGAGCAGCCAGCAAAGUAACUAAAAUAUGGUGUAAUGAAUAGGCAGGCAGUGUAGAGAUCUUAGGUAAAAAGGUAAAGCCAUGCCAAAUCAGAUACCAUAUUGUAUAGAUUAGAUUGCCUGGCAGUCACUGGGGACUUACUCUGAAAAAGAUGUGGAGAUCAAACAUAAUUAAAAUUAGUUUGUGAUUAACAUUGAUUGUGCUUACAGUGUCUAGAGUUAAGCUAGAAUGAGAUGACUCUUUUUGAAAAUGGUAAGUUUGUGGGCGAUUGGCUUGACAUUAAGCCCUGGGGUACAGAGAAAGGAGAGUCAGCAGUUAGGUAGUAUUUCAAUCUCAGGUUGCAUGUGGAAAUACCUUCUCCUCAUUCUCUUAGGAGCAGGAAUGCAUCCAGAACAUGCUACAUUAAAAGAGGAGUUCUCAGGGCUGCCAACCUUACAGUAGAGGUUGGGUAGUAGUAUAUUUCUCCUACAGAAAGAGAAAAGAAAAUUAGCAGGAGUUGACUGACUGUAGGAAAGAAGAGUCAAACAUGACCUCAGCUUCUGGCUUGGGUGGAUCAAUAAAGUAUAAUUUGAAGAAUAGACUUGAUAGGAAAGAAAAUUAGAUCAGUUUUGGACAUUACAGAAUUUGAAAUGUUUACAGGUUAAGUGAUAAUUUUUACUUUCAAAAUCUUUAACUGUCAUUUGAAAAGUUGAUGUUCAGAGAUAGUGGCCCAAGUUUAUUUUGAAACUAAUGCAGUCUAGGGCUGGUGGCAUAGCAAGCCUGCUGACCCAAGCCUGAUGGCUCCUGGACCCGUGGAAGAGGGAGCUAACCCUGCCUAAAGCCACCCGCUCAAUUGUGGCACAUGCACCUUAGUAUUCUCUCACUCACAUACACAAUAAAAAGAAAGACAUUAGUGCAGACCAGAAACUAGCUGCUGUUUUCAGUUUCACAUGUACAGAAAACUUGGAAUUUGAAAAUAAUUUAAAGUUAGACAUUUUAGUAAUAUAAGUGCAUCUGCACAUACUGAGUAAAGCAGUCGUCAGUAACGGAUUGCUGACUCCUAGUGUAGAAGGAUUUUGCACAUUAAAUGAAGGUAAUUUAUAACAUUAGCUGCUUCAAAGGAAAAAAUGCUUUAUUUUAAUUAUUUUCAUUUUUUCCUUGUCCAGUUCUUAUAUUUACAAUAGGGUUUGGAAGUUUAUUUGUCUGAAAGUGAAACAUCUGUUUCUAUUAUGAAUACGAUUGCAAUGUUUUUGAAAUGAACUCACUGUGUAACGUAGCCUUCACUGUGUUGACACAGGUGUAGCAAGAUACAGAUAUCUUUGACAGGAGAGAAGUCUGGAGUAUUUCUUCAUCUGUAAUUACUGACUCAUGCUUAAAAAUGGAUGGGAAUUAAUUGGGUCCUUGAAAUUAAGUCACUUAUGAUCACAUCUAAGGUGUAUUUUACUUUGUUCUGAGGAAAGAAAGAAGAUAAAACUUGGCUUCACACAAGAAAUGUAGUCUUGGGAAGUACAUACGUAUUGUUUAUAAUUGAAUUCCCCAAAGCAGCACUGACUCAUUUAAAGGGUAUUAGUCUCUAAUUGAGGGCUCUCAGUCAAGUUCAAACUGUACAGAUCCUUUGAGAGGUUAGCUGUUUGCUCACAUCACCACAGCCACAUGUACAUACAGCCACAUGUCAUGUAUGUACACCAUGAUCUUUAUACCAUGGGAUAGCUGAGAACAGGGCUGAGGAAAACUUCUGGACUCUUCUUUGUUAGGGGUGCAGAAGCUGGAGUCUUCCCUACUGCUUUUGGUAAACUUGUUGAUGGAAAACUUGUUGAGAUUCCAUCUGUUGGAAGAUAGAGACUCUAGCCGUCAUUUAAAAAAGCACUAGUAAUAUUUUAGGAGAACACCAAAGUAUAUUUCAUAGGGAAGGGGUGGUGUUUCCAGGUAUAUUUUUAAGAAAAUUAUUAUCCUAUACGGUUAGGAUAAUCAUCCUGAUACUGCUAUACUCUUGGUUUGGAAUAAGUGAGUUUAUUAAGUACACAGCAAGCUAAAGUAAAAGAAUACAUAGCAAAGGAUGAAGUAGACAAAACAUCAAAUUGUGACUGGGGAGAUGGCUCAGUGGAUAAGAACAUACAUGCUUCUAACUGCCUCUAACUCUAGCUCCAUGAAAUCCUUUGGGUCCCAAGGACACCUGAACUUACAUAUAUGCACACACAUAAUUUAAAUAUUAAAAAAUAAACACUUAAAAAGAGCAUCACCAUCGGCUGGAGAGUUGCACUGACUGAACUGUUAAAAGCACUGAUUACUCUUGCGUAGGAUAUGGAUUCCAUUCCUAGCACCCACAUGGUAGCUCACAACUGUCUCCAACUCUAGUCCCCAGAGACCAGUGUUCUAUUUUGGCCUCUAUAAGCACCAGGUAUCCAUGUUGUGCACAUAUAUACAUGCAGACAAAAUACUUAUACACGUAAUUAAAUCUUAAAAUCCAAACCAGGCACUUAAACAUCUAUCAGGUUCUUAAUAGAUCUAGCAGAAAUCCAUUGGGGAAAUACCUUUGAGAUUGUUGGCUGGAGUUCCUCAGAGAGUUUCCGGCAGAGCAGAAUGUCCCCUCCAGUGAGCCUUCCAGGUACAGGAACAAAUCACGACAUGCACAGAACCCAGCAGAAACCGACUGGACAAGUUGAGUGAGGCCAAUCUAAUGAUGCUUUGCUGUCUACCUGUAAUUUACUGAUUGUUCAUUUACUUCGACUUGCUAUAUAUUUAAUAAAAUCACUCAUUCAAAACCAAA